CCUACGGGAGGCAGCAGUGAGGAAUAUUGGUCAAUGGACGAGAGUCUGAACCAGCCAAGUAGCGUGAAGGAUGACUGCCCUAUGGGUUGUAAACUUCUUUUAUAUGGGAAUAAAAUGUUCCACGUGUGGGAUUUUGUAUGUACCAUAUGAAUAAGAAUCGGCUAACUCCGUGCCAGCAGCCGCGGUAAUACGGAGGAUCCGAGCGUUAUCCGGAUUGAUUGGGUUUAAAGGGAGCGUAGGUGGAUUGUUAAGUCAGUUGUGAAAGUUUGCGGCUCAACCGUAAAAUUGCAGUUGAAACUGGCAGUCUUGAGUACAGUAGAGGUGGGCGGAAUUCGUGGUGUAGCGGUGAAAUGCUUAGAUAUCACGAAGAACUCCGAUGGCGAAGGCAGCUCACUGGACUGCAACUGACACUGAGGCUCGAAAGUGUGGGUAUCAAACAGGAUUAGAUACCCUUGUAGUC
rnacentral:rRNA from 1 species